UGCUUUGCAGGUUCUGAUAUAUUACAGUGGAUCAUGCAGCGCCUGCAGAUUACCAAUGAAGAGGCCCUGAACUUGGGAUGCAUGAUUGUCAAGUAUGGAUACAUCUAUCCUCUUCAGUACCCAAAAAAUCUCACUCUCAGACCAGAUAGCAGCCUCUACAGAUUUCAGACACCCUACUUUUGGCCAACACAGCAAUGGGCAGCAGAUGAUACAGACUAUGGUAAGCUCUA